rnacentral:rRNA from 1 species
AAUGAACGCUGGCGGCAGGCCUAAAACAUGCAAGUCGAACGCCCUAGCAAUAGGGAGUGGCGCACGGGUGAGUAACACGUGGGAAUAUGCCUUUUGGUACGGAACAACGUCUGGAAACGGACGCUAAUGCCGUAUGGUCCCUUCGGGGUAAAGAUUUAUCGCCAAAAGAUUAGCCCGCGUCUGAUUAGCUAGUUGGUGAGGUAAUGGCUCACCAAGGCGACGAUCAGUAGCUGGUCUGAGAGGACGAUCAGCCACACUGGGACUGAGACACGGCCCAGACUCCUACGGGAGGCAGCAGUUAGGAAUAUUGGACAAUGGACGCAAGUCUGAUCAAGCCAUGCCGCGUGAGUGAUGAAGGCCUUCGGGUUGUAAAGCUCUUUAGUCCACGAUUAUAAUGACUGUAGUGGAAGAAUAAGCCCCGGCUAACUUCGUGCCAGCCGCCGCAGUAAGAC